GGCAGAGGGGGCAAGCGUUGCUCGGAAUUACUGGGCGUAAAGGGCGCGUAGGCGGGAUGGCAAGUCGGUCGUGAAAUCCCUCGGCUCAACCGAGGAACGUCGAUCGAUACUGCUGUUCUUGAGGAUUGCAGAGGAGACUGGAAUUCCCGGUGUAGCGGUGAAAUGUGUAGAGAUCGGGAGGAACACCGGUGGCGAAGGCGGGUCUCUGGGCAAUUCCUGACGCUGAGGCGCGAAAGCGUGGGGAGCAAACGGG
rnacentral:rRNA from 1 species